GGAUGUGAGGGCGAUCUGGCUGCGACAUCUUUCACCCUAUUGAUCGCCAGGGUUGAUUCGGCUGAUCUGGCUGGCUAGGCGGGUUUCCCCCUCCUUCCUCACCGAUCCAGUGUCGUCCCUCCCGAAGCUGCGCGCUCGGUCGAAGAGGACAGCCUUCCCAUGAGCCAAUCAAGUAGAGACAGGGUUGAAUCAC
rnacentral:snRNA from 1 species